UACAAUAAAAUACAUGCAAUACACAGAUAAUCCACCAGGGGGGAGGAAUUCAUUCACCAGAGGCCUUUCCAGUGACACUACAAGAUUGUCAUUAAUGAGGAAGGAGGCAGAACUUUGCCAGUUUUGAAAAGGUAUUACCAAUUUGUGAGACAUGUUUGUAAUAUAUUAUGUUUUUGUUUGUUCAAAAAUAAUAUUUGAGCAUUGAGACCUGAUACCUGAUGUAUCAAAUAUGAUACAAAAUUGAAACUCAUACAUGGAAAUUGAUAUUUAA